rnacentral:lncRNA from 1 species
CCAGUCCCAUAAUUUUUAUUAUCAAUACGUCAUUUGUACAAUAAAUUAUUUCAGACCCAUAGAAAAAAAGCGCAAAAGAGAUUAAAAAAAACAUAAGAAACUAGACAACAUUUCCAAUUUCUCGGUGAGUCUUCAUCCACGCCGAAGGCUAGAUAGUAUCUGUAGGACAAAGGCAGCUUAUCCCAAAUGCACAACAAACAAACAUAUGGAGAAACAAUGAAUUCACCAACAUGUCACAUAAACAACUUUAUAGAGUUUAGAAGGCAAACAGGACAGACACUCAAAAUUAUCAUGUAAUAAGCAAAUGCGUCGUCUAAGGAAACUAACCAGUUUGUAGCAAUAAGCAGUUAAAUAAAAGUCUGAAAAUCAGCACUUUGACCUACACACAGCAGUUGUAGUGAAUAAGACACCGAUCCAAAAUUCCUUUUAAUAAUACUUACCUGAGACAAAAGAACUGAAGAGUAUUUUUAUUUCUUUUGUAUAGAGCAAAGAUAGUUAAAAACUUGGUCUUGUAAUAGCCGAUGAAAAAGUAGAUGAAAAGGGAAGAUGAGGGGGUUCACAUAGCUAAACAACAAUAACAACACAACCAGUAUAUUUCCACAAAGUACGGUGAUUUAUAUAGCUAAGGGUCAGGAAAAUAAAAGGAAGGAGAUUAUUUUAUAGAUCAAUUAAGAAAAAAUAAACAUCUCCGAUUUACCUUAAAAGACAAGUCAGAAUAUAUAUUCAAAUUCAAGAGUAGGGUAAAAAUAUUAAUCAAGCUGUAAAAAUAGGGAUACAGAUGGAUAUUUUCCAUAUACAAUUAAAAACACAGUCACAUCAAACUGGUACAAAACAGGUCCAAUUUACCAUAAUUCAGAGUAACCAUCUACUCAGAAUAAAAUCCAGAUGCUUAGCAGGCAAAAAUCACAAUAUACCAAAAGAAUUAAUAUACUAUUGUAAUUAUGCGAGUAAUUCAAUCAACCGAGUCAAAUUUUUAGAAUCAAAGUUGUGAGGUUACCACGACAGUAGACAAUGGAAUUGCAUGCCUAGGAAAAUCGAUCCCUAAUAUUAAAUAAAAUCUAGGGUUGACGAAAAUUCACAAAAAUUAGGCAUUCUUGCAUAUGUUGAUCUAAACACAUAAACACAUACGAAAUUGAAAGAAUCAAUUCAAAAUUCACAGUCAUAUUUCAUUAAUUUUUAAAUCCAAAGAAAAAAAUCAGUCAGGGGAAAAAUGGGUAGAAAGAGGAAAUUCACAUAUAGCAACAAGCCUGAGACGGAUUCCGAGAUUCAUCAUGGACUUUACUCUUUUUCGACGUCAGUUGGCCGUAGUUUGGAAUAGCAUCGUGGGUAUGGUGUUGUUUUCCAGCGGAGAAUGAUAGACACUUUCCGAAACCCUGUUAGAAAGGUGGCGGCGAUAGGCGGUUCACUGGCUACCGAUGAACGGAGCGACGACUUUUAUUGGAGUUUUGUCAAUUGAGUGGCAACCAUUGGUUGAAGGCAGCGACUGGGAACAUAGAAGUGGGGGCGAGUGUGGUCGCCUUCAACAGCUAGAGCGAAGCAAGGAAGACAGAAGGCUCCGGAGUGGCUCGCUGACCUAAGUCUCAGCUGGAGAAGGAUAUGGUGCUAUCGGAUUCUAGAGAGAAAGAGAGAAAGAGAGGAGAGAAGGGGUUGGCGAUGGGUGGACUGUUGUUGUGGUGGUGGCGCCGGAGGUAAAGAGAAAGGGGGAGAGAGAAAAGGAGAAAAAAUAAAGAGGGCGGUGACAACAAUCAUGGCUGUUGCUGUUAAGGCCAUGGUGUUGAUAGAGGGGGAAGAGAGAGAGGAGAGGGAGGUGCAGUUGUGAGGGAUGAAAUGGUUAGGCUUUGGGGUAAUUGGGUAUAAA